rnacentral:rRNA from 1 species
UAGAGCUGACUGGUGAGUACACAGUGGGCAACUGCUGUAGAGCUGAUAACAGCGGAAAUCGUGCUAAUACCGGACAGGCAAUGUCGCAUGACGUUUCGUCUGAAGACGCGCACGUGUCGCUACAGGAUGGGCCCCGCGCAUUAGCUAGUAUGAGCGUAACGCUCACCAGGAAUGCGUAGCGACCUGAGAGGUGAUCGGCCACACAGGACUGAGAAAGAGCCCGGAAUCCUACAGGGAGGCAGCAGUAGGAAACUUCCGCAAUGACGAAAGCUUGAGGGAGCACACGCCGCGUGACGCAAGAAGGCCCCUCGGGUCGCUAAGCUACUGCUGUUAGGAAGACCAGUAAGUAGUACUGGCGUACUGUGAAGGCCCUACAACAGAAAGCCCCCGCUUAUAAAUGCCGCAGCCCCGCAUAUAAUAGAUGGCACGUCUGUCCGCAUAAUAGGGUUAAGCCAGAGGGGUCCUCAAGAUCUAGAGUAGACGCAACGCUACCCCGGAGUCCUCGAAUGGGGGCUAGGUCAGAAAAAGCAGAUCCCCGUCGGGAACCUAGAGAUGCGAGCCCCUCGAGAGCGCCUCGUUUCACUAUGGCGAAGGGGAGAA